ensembl:lincRNA
UUUUCCCUAAAGCCCAGCCAGAGGAAGAGUGAACAGGCCCUAGCUCCAACAGCGCCGCCGGUCUGUUGCCACUCAUGGUCCUUUCUUUCCUAUCUUUGCGCACCUCCAAUCCACACUAAGUCCUCACCAUUUGUGGAUGUCCUCCUCCCACGUAUCAUGUCGCUGUCUGUGUCCCAGUGCUUAGUUUCCCCUGUUCGUUCCACUUGCCCGAUGUGCUUGUCACCCGCACGCUUCCACUCGUGUCCUGCUUCGCAUGCUAGUAUGUUUAUUUUUUUAAAUCCUGUCACUGCUAAUCGUGUACGUGCAUGACCAUUCUCGCCAGCACAAACUCUUGGCCUAUGUUUUGUGUGACAGAGGAUUCUUUCUGCAUUGAUGCCAGGAAGGUGGCAAAGAAGAAAGGUCUAAGCCUGGGCGCAGCAACGUUACCUUUCCUUACACCAAAUCGCAAGAAACCCAAGACCACAGGAAUCUUUGAGACAAGUGUUGGCAGCUCCGACGACGAUGGAUAUGGACGGCCUCGGUCUAUCGCAUUGCCUUGUGACCCCUCCACCUUCAACCAGCACCGGGGAAAAGCUGAUGGAAUGUCAAACACCAGUAGCAGGUCCUCGAGCACUUCCCAAACUGGAGACAAACCAUCUUUGCAAGCUCUGCCAUUCCUGGAGAUAUGCAAUGUCGAAGUUGAUGGGCAGACAUGCGAAAUGAAAGCAACAGCGCCUUCGAGGAGUACAUUCGAGUGUCAUAUUGAUAUCUUUGUUCAACCUUGCGGUGAGACAGAAGCGAGGAGCGAUGGACGAGGGGCAACAUUGCGCAAAGAAACUCCCUCGGAACCGAUGCAGGCCGACACCGGUGUUCCCUCUACCGGGAUACAGCACCAGCCACGCAGAGCUUUCAAUGCAUUUCGUGUAAAACACCGUGACACUUUGACACGUAAACGGCGUAGUAAACAUGGCCGGGUCCAAGUCUCAUUGACCAUGGCUGCCUCGGCUACGACUGAGAAGCCUCUGGUUGGGUGGAAUGGUGGGGAGGAGGGACGACAGGUAAAAGAUCAAUACAGAUUUCAGGAACCGAGUGACACUGAAACAAAGGACGAUGCUGGUUGGAUACCAUUUCGGCAUGUCCCAACUAUGGAGGCCUUGCCGCAGGAGUCAAAGACUUGGCAGCAACCUUCAGUAUGCCCAGAGGCACAGUCUGCAGCUGUGUGUGCAUCCAACAAACUCACCGCCCGAAGAGAGAUAUUCAGGGUUUCUCGCAGUAUAAAGUCUCUGUGAAAUUGUCAGCAAAUGGCACGUCGUAUAGGAUGUCUGUGGAUCGUGCAUUUUGACAUCUUUCUUUUUAGAAGUCAUUAGCAGCUGAUGUUUCUCAUACAAUGUCAGUUCUUGUAAAAGGGACUGUAUGGGUUGGUAGCCAGUAGAGGCUGGACCACAUCACAUUUCACAAUUUUGUUGGCAAAGGCACAGCAUCUUCGCUUGGACGUGUAUAUGCCUCUUGGGAAUUUUGAACUAUUAACUCGGCUGUGCUUACGUUCGACAGUUUAUUAUGACUGUCGAGCUUGUGUUGCUCUCAAACGGAUUGCUCACAACGAUUUUCCAAAUGAUUCAUAUUUUGGCGAUGGGAAGUUUUUAAAUGCCAUUUUUUAAUCGUCCUGAACUUUAACCUUGGUAGGGACUACUCGUCGCAGCUUUAUAAUUUUUAUAUUGUUGGUAUAAGCACAAGUACAAUGCUUGUAAAUGUAUGCACCAGUAAUAAUGCACAAUGUAAUAUAUUUAUAUGUAAUGCUUGUGUAAAACGGAUUCUCUUUUCUGGAGAAUUUGUUAUCAUGUGCCAAUGAGGGGAAGGGAGAUGGAGAGAGGAAUUGGUAAGUUCAUACAUGACCCUUAUGGUGUUUUUUACUGGGGUAAGGUCGGGCAAGAUGCUCCUGGCAAGAAGAGUGUGGCAAGUAGUAGCUUCCUCGUUGCUUUUUUUCAGCAUAUGGAACAUUUUCCAUUUGAAUUAGCCUGCUAUAUCAUCAGCUAGAAAAGCCCUCAAGUGUGGACACUGAAUAUAUAACUCAGAAUCAAGAGUUUAUCUGGGUUGGUGGGGGUUGGGGUUGGGGGAGUGGGUAGGGAGGAAUCAUAUCACACCUUGUAUCACUCUUUUUUACUCUCUAUUCCUCUAUUACAUUAUCUAUCUCUCAAGAGAAGUGAAUUCUUGCAGAAAUUUUUCUGUAAGGCUCACUUGGCUGCACCUGGACGGGUUUGAAGGUAGAGGAGUAGUGGUUGAAACCCGAAUCCUAUCCAGGUUCCUCCUGUGACUCCAUCUUUGCUCUUUACUUAUUCAGGUUCCUUCUUGGUCUUCCGUUUCAUUAUAGAUCAUUCUACACUAUACUAUAUUACCAAAGGCCCUAAUUACCCGAACAGUUCAGAGCUCCUUCACCACUGGGCUGAGGACAGUAAGGAAACAUACAGGGUUAUUAUUUUGCAACCAUUUAUGGGUGUCAAUCCUUAGCAAAGCAAAGUCAAUUCCAAGCCACUCAGAACUCAUUAAAGUGUCUCAUGCUUUCAUCCAAAGUAUCAUGGAGUACAGAUUCCCAAUUUGACUUGAUGCAACUGUUUCCUAUCUUGUUCCCCUGGAGGUGAUCAACAACAAGGCUCUUUGUGUUAUUCACAUUUUUUGCCAGGUAAAUCCCCAUGGUCUACUGCCUGACCAUCGUAAGCAGGUUGAUGGACUCUUAUUUUGUCUUUCCUCAUUCCUCCCACACUUUAUUCCCUCCAUCCUCUCCGAGUCCACUCAGGUCACAGCACUCAUUGCUCUAGAUUCUCAAAACAACCUGCUUACCUUACCUGAUCGCUUACCUAUAUGUCUUCAUCUCUCCAUUCGCUCAUCUGUUGAACCAAUUCCCGUGUUUGUUCUCUCGUGCUCCUCCCUCCAUUCCUUCAAGAGGUGCUGCUCAUCUUCACCUCAUACUUUCUCCCAUACCCACCCCUGCUAUCUUGUACUGUUGCUGACCCCCUCCCCUACUUCCUCCUUUCCCUUCUGCCACCCAUCCACUCAUGUGCAAUGCCUUUGUCUUCCUGUUCCCAUUUGAUCACCUGCCAGUCUGUGAACCUGAUGCCCUCUGUCAUUUAAUUUAGCUCCUACAUGAGCCUAGAUUAAUUUGAUUUCUUGGAAUUCUCGUUGCCCCUCCUUACCUUGUCAACUUUGGCAGCCAACACAGCUCAGAUCCUACCAAUAAAACUCUGUACCAAAUGAGUAGGUGAGAACGAGGGCAAAUUAUGACAUUUUCAUGAAAAUCAAAAGUGGUUUUCUUACUCUCUGAACAUAUAAAAUGACAUUUGACUGAAUCUUUUGUGAAAAUGUGAGAGAGUAGGAUCUCAUUCUCACCCACUCAAACAUCAGCGCAGUCGAUAUCAGGCGUAAUAUUGUAAGUUCCUCUUUCAGUGCAAGUUCAAUGGUGGAUCGUGAUCGAUUGACUCAGCAUCAAGGCAGCAUUCAGACGUCUCAUUGUGGUUCGAUUGGAUUUAGGUUGGGGUUAUGGAAUGGCCACUGCAGAUUUGUAAUGCCGUUAUCCCCAAACCAAUUAACAGAAACAGGAGCAGGCAAAGUAUUUUGUCAUCCAGGUGGAUGUAAGAGCACUCAUCCUAACUUGCAUCAAAGCUGGUCGUGCAGCAUUAUCCAAAAUGUCGUAAUAAGAGUCCACAUCGGUCGUAAUGUCUUAUUGGUCCACAUUGCUUUGUAUUGCGGGAAUAAUAUGCACAUGCAAGUUGGAAUGGUCUGCUGUCCCAAUACUUUUGGUGAUAUGUACUCUGACACGUGAGUCAGAUUAGCACUGCACUGUUUUCUCCUGCAUAAAGGGUGUUUGCAUUGAUGCAAGUUUUUAUUCAUACUUCGAUACUUGAUGCAUUUGGUCAGGGAACGAUUACAGUAUGAUGAUUUGGUUUUCUCGAGUGUGUGUGAGUGUGUAUGAGUGAUCAUUGUCAAUAGACACAUAAAGAAGAAUACUUAGCAACAUAACUCCAUAGCUCCAAAUAAUCUUUGCAAGAAAAAUUUAUUUUAGUAUUCCUGGUGUAUUUGGUAUUUCCAGUUUUGUAUAUCAUGCAUUGUUUGGUGCAGAUAACCCGUGCCAAGAUGCACUUGUCCAAAAGAACUUUGGACUAAUGCAGGCUGUAACAGAAUAAAUGUUUCAUUGUGUCUACUCCGAUUCUCAUCGAGAAAUGCCUGUGGGUGUUUGACGUCUCACCCAUCACACACUGUUUUGCUCUGCAAUUGUGAAUGGGGUUAGUAAAAGUUCUUGGACAAGGAGGGACUUGGCUCGCAACAACCCUAAUGGUACAUGACCCGACCUAAAAAUCCGAUUCUUCGCACAGAUUGUUGCCUGAGGGUUGCACAGAAGAGCAUGUCUUAGCCUGACCAUCUGCUUCCCAGUCUGCCAAGGGAUCUGUAAUUUGUGGCUUCAGGCAGUGACAGCAAUGGGAACAGGUGCCAAGGCUGCCUGCGAGCGCCAAAGCCGCUUGCCCACUCCUUUCGCUCACAUCGCAGCAGCAUAGUGGGAGGUCCAAUAAUUCUUCUGUCACAUGAGGGUCAAUGCUCUACUGAAUGAUUGUGAAGUUGCUUCGGGUUGAUAUGGAAGAAUUUUAUUUGAAUGACCACAGUUUAUUUACAAUUUUUGGAAGACCUUCCACAGGGAAGGGAAGUUGAAAAACAUGUAUUUUGUGGCUUUCCAGUUCCGAGCCAGAAAGAGCUCAGUACAACUUGAUGUUACAAAAGAGCUGUAACGAUUAGGUGGGAACGAUGUCUGCAGCUAGGUCUCGGCUUGUAUUUAUUGAAAAAGUCUCAGGGGCAAGAAUUUUAGCUUAUUCUCAAGUAAUAUUUGUAAGAUGCUAACUCCAGAAAUCACACAAAUAGUUCAGAUUGGCAAUUAAUUGUGUGAAAAAACGAGAUUAUUUUAUAAUUUUUCUAAUAUGAGGGCUACCUCAAU